GAGCCCCCCAUUCUGGGUAAGGGGAUACCCCUGUGAAGGUCAGUCACGGUUUGUCUCUGCAGAGGAAGCAUAAAUUGUGGCUGCUGCAGCUCUGCUCUUUGUCUUUAUUUUUAGGAAGUCAAGGCAGAGAGCAGCUGUCAAGGCUGAGUGGGCAAGAUGGACUGCUUGCCAUCUAUCCUUGCCCAGCAUGCCCAUGCCAGGUGCUGUCGCUGCCCUAGGCAUGCCGGGGAAGAGAGGAGGGCAG